rnacentral:lncRNA from 1 species
ACGUGUAUACUUUUCAACGUUUCAGUCGUUGGAAUUGUCCCAAACUGUAGUACAGAAUGCGGAUACGAAGGAUUCUAGACAUCCCAUUUGCGACUUUCGAUAGCUUUCGAUACCAUCUGAAAUUGAAAACAAGCGAUUUUGGUUGAAUGUAAACACACAAAAUCCGAAGUAAAUAAACAGAAAUAUUGUCGAUCAAGCGCAGAAAAGUGGUGUGCCCUAGUUUUGUGUUAAUCAUUUGUGAGAGGGCGAUCACACGUAAGAAGGAUUAGCUUGAGCGCAUCCCCGCAAUAUUCACGUUGGAAAUUAAGAUGGAAGCAGAACAACAUCAAAGCUUUGUCUGUGGUGUGACUACCAUCAAACAAGAGUCAGUUGAAACUGACCCAUCCACAUCUCCAAAUCAAGAGAUUGAAGACAUAUUCAUUAAGGAAGAAACUCUGGAAUCUUCACCUUCAGAUGAUAUUCCAUGGCCUAGCACUCAGGAUAGUGGGAAAAUGGAGGAUGAGGAUAUGGAGG